rnacentral:tRNA from 1 species
GCCCGUGUAGCUCAGCUGGCAGAGCAUCUCCAUGGUAAGGAGAAGGUCAUCGGUUCAAAUCCGAUCGCGGGCUCCA